ensembl:snRNA U6 U6 spliceosomal RNA
GGGCUCACAAUGGCAGCACACAUGUUAAAAUUGUAAUGAUACAGAGAUUAGCAUGGCCCCUGUGCAAGGAUGACACAUGAAUUUGAGAAGCACUCCAUAAUUUU